rnacentral:rRNA from 1 species
UACAGAGGGGGCAAGCGUUAUUCGGAAUUAUUGGGCGUAAAGGGCGCGUAGGCGGCCUGGCAAGUGGAAGGUGAAAUCCCUCGGCUUAACCGAGGAACUGCCCUCCAAACUGCUUGGCUUGAGUCCGGGAGAGGUGAGUGGAAUUCCCAGUGUAGCGGUGAAAUGCGUAGAUAUUGGGAGGAACACCAGUGGCGAAGGCGGCUCACUGGACCGGAACUGACACUGAGGAGCGAAAGCGUGGGUAGCAAACAGG